rnacentral:rRNA from 1 species
AGUAAAAGUCGUAACAAGGUCUCCGUUGGUGAACCAGCGGAGGGAUCAUUACUGAGUUUACGCUCUACAACCCUUUGUGAACAUACCUACAACUGUUGCUUCGGCGGGUAGGGUCUCCGCGACCCUCCCGGCCUCCCGCCUCCGGGCGGGUCGGCGCCCGCCGGAGGAUAACCAAACUCUGAUUUAACGACGUUUCUUCUGAGUGGUACAAGCAAAUAAUCAAAACUUUUAACAACGGAUCUCUUGGUUCUGGCAUCGAUGAAGAACGCAGCGAAAUGCGAUAAGUAAUGUGAAUUGCAGAAUUCAGUGAAUCAUCGAAUCUUUGAACGCACAUUGCGCCCGCCAGCAUUCUGGCGGGCAUGCCUGUUCGAGCGUCAUUUCAACCCUCAAGCUCUGCUUGGUGUUGGGGCCCUACAGCCGAUGUAGGCCCUCAAAGGUAGUGGCGGACCCUCCCGGAGCCUCCUUUGCGUAGUAACUUUACGUCUCGCACUGGGAUCCGGAGGGACUCUUGCCGUAAAACCCCCCAAUUUUCCAAAGGUUGACCUCGGAUCAGGUAGGAAUACCCGCUGAACUUAAGCAU